CUACUACCCUUUCUAUAUCACUGUUACUGCUGCCACUGGAAGGCUAUUCCAGGUAUCUACUACCCUUUCUAUAUCACUGUUACUGCCCCCACUGGAAGGCUAUUCCAGGUAUCUACUACCCUUUCUGUAUCACUGUUACUGCUCCCACUAGAAGGCUAUUCCAGGUAUCUACUACCCUCUCUAUAUCACUGUUACUGCUGCCACUGGAAGGCUAUUCCAGGUAUCUACUACACUUUCUAUAUCACUGUUACUGCUCCUACUGGAACGUUAUUCCAGGUAUCUACUACCUUUUCUAGAUCACUGUUACUGCUCCCAUUGGAAGGCUAUUCUAGGUAUCUACUACCAUUUCUAUAAGUUAACAUUUACUUAACUUUCCCUCAGUCUUCUACCCAUCUAUUUUUACUGCC